UAUCUGUCAUACAGUCACACGGAGGUUACAGUCGGUAUUGACAUUUUGAAUUUUCACAUUCACCAAUAAAUUCAACAUUAAACAUUCCAGAGCUAUACUUGUGCAGACAUGGUUUUGUAUGAAAAUC